UUUUCCGUCUGAACCAUUGCUAGAUCCGCCGCUGCUGAAGCUUCUGGCCGCGCCUCUGCGUUGCCGGAGCUCCACGCCGCCGCCACUGCCACCAAAAACCACCACUGAGGCCUAAGUCUGUUUGGGAUCGAGUUACGGGUCUUGAUUGCUGAGUUCUAUGGCUGCUGCAUACAGCAUCAAGGUGUUGUGUCGUCAUCGGGGCUGUUGUUACUCCAUUUUCUCGAUCAUUCGUAAGCCCAGUUUGAGCUAAGGCUGUGUUUAGAGGCUGUGGCUACUGCUGGAACGGUCAGUAUUGAUGCUGUUGUUGUGGGAUAAGAAUAGAAAUGCAGUUUGUCGCGUAGUUGAAUCGCGAAUGAGGAACAUUCAAUGCAGUUGCAAAUUUGGUGAGAAUUUGGGCUGCAGAUUGGCACGGAGGUGUGUAGGCAUGAGCAUACAUGGGUACCGUUACCAAGUCAUUGACAGUCGUAAUUUCAGAUGGACUAAAUUUAUAGUUCGCUCCGUGGAAUGUGAUAAGUCCAUGGCCUAAAUAAGCUCAUUUGGAUAUGAAAAAUGACCCAAAGUUAGCAGCAAUGUUUAGAAUUUAUUAACUAUUUCGUAUUAUUUUGUGUGGUUUGUAACUGUAAUAUUUUGUGCAAUGACAAUAGCUGUAUUGGUUAUUAAAUUUAUCCGGGAACUUAGCUAUAAUUAUUAAUUAUCUUAUA